CACGUAGGGGGCGAGCGUUGUCCGGAUUUAUUGGGCGUAAAGAGCUCGUAGGCGGUCUGUCGCGUCGAAUGUGAAAACCCGGGGCUCAACCCCGGGCCUGCAUUCGAUACGGGCAGACUAGAGUUCGGUAGGGGAGUCUGGAAUUCCUGGUGUAGCGGUGAAAUGCGCAGAUAUCAGGAGGAACACCGGUGGCGAAGGCGGGACUCUGGGCCGAUACUGACGCUGAGGAGCGAAAGCGUGGGGAGCAAACAGG
rnacentral:rRNA from 1 species